UCAGUGGAGCCUGUUCCUGUCUUUGGUUAUCUAGCUGUAUGAGUGUGAUUUACCCAUCAUAAAGCUAGAUAACCGAAAGUAGGAAUGACCUCUGACACCUCA
ensembl:miRNA mir9a-2 microRNA mir-9a-2